GGGAUAUGUUGCAUAUUAUUUGUGUUAAACGGGUAAAGCAGACAUGAUGGGGGCUUGUGUUACCCCACUGGGUUUUGCCCCAGCACUACACAGCUGAUUGAUAUAACUCAUCAAACUUUGAUUAUUCGAAUCAGCUGUGUAGUGCUGGGGCAAAAACCAAAACUUGCAACCAGGAGGGGCCCAAGGACCGAGUCUAAGAAACCCUGCUCUAUGGUAACAUGUUAACACCCCUGGAUAGAUACAAAACAUACUAGAUCUUGGGGGGAGUUUCACAAAAAUAUAAAGAUCAUCCUCAGCAUAAAGAUCAUCCUCAGCAUAAAGAUCAUCCUCAGCAUAAAGAUCAUCCUCCACAUAAAGAUCAUCCUCAGCAUAAAGAUCAUCCACAGCAUAAAGAUCAUCCUCAGCAUAAAGAUCAUCCUCAGAGUUAAAGAUCAUCCUCAGAGUUAAAGAUCAUCCUCAGAGUUAAAGAUCGUCCUCAGCAUAAAGAUCAUCCUCAGCAUAAAGAUCAUCCUCAGCAUAAAGAUCAUCCUCAGCAUAAAGAUCAUCCUCAGCAUAAAGAUCAUCCUCCACAUAAAGAUCAUCCCCAUAUUAAAGAUCAUCCUCAGCAUAAAGAUCAUCCUCAGCAUAAAGAUCAUCCUCAGCAUAAAGAUCAUCCUCAGCAUAAAGAUCAUCCUCAGAGUUAAAGAUCGUCCUCAGCAUAAAGAUCAUCCUCAGAGUUAAAGAUCGUCCUCAGCAUAAAGAUCAUCUUCAUCAUAAAGAUCAUCCUCAGAGUUAAAGAUCGUCCUCAGCAUAAAGAUCAUCUUCAUCAUAAAGAUCAUCCUCAGACAUAAAGAUCAUCCUCACUAUAAAGAUCAUCCUCAGAGUUAAAGAUCGUCCUCAGCAUAAAGAUCAUCCUCGGCACAAAAAUCAUCCUCAUCAUAAAGAUCAUCCUCAGAGUUAAAGAUCAUCCUCAGAGUUAAAGAUCAUCCCCAUAUUAAAGAUCAUCCUCAGCAUAAAGGUCAUCCUCAGCAUAAAGAUCAUCCUCAGAGUUAAAGAUCAUCCUCAGAGUUAAAGAUCAUCCCCAUAUUAAAGAUCAUCCUCAGCAUAAAGAUCAUCCUCACUAUAAAGAUCAUCCUCAGAUUUAAAGAUCAUCAUCAGUCCAUACAUAGCAGGGGUAUCAAACUACUGUGAUUCUACCAACUGAGCUACAAAUCUGUUAUGAUCUUGGUGCUAAACAUGAUCUUUACUACUGCAGUGUCAGAUGAAGAGCAUUCCUAGCAUUUUCAUAUAUUGCUUAAGACGAUGUGUCAAUGAUACGGUCUCCUAUCUAAUGAAAUGUUUCAAGUGUGUAUUCUGUCCUGUUC
ensembl:lncRNA